UACGUAGGGUGCAAGCGUUGUCCGGAAUUAUUGGGCGUAAAGAGCUCGUAGGCGGUUUGUCGCGUCUGCUGUGAAAACUCGGGGGCUCAACUCCGAGCUUGCAGUGGGUACGGGCAGACUAGAGUGCGGUAGGGGAGACUGGAAUUCCUGGUGUAGCGGUGGAAUGCGCAGAUAUCAGGAGGAACACCGGUGGCGAAGGCGGGUCUCUGGGCCGAUACUGACGCUGAGGAGCGAAAGCGUGGGGAGCGAACAGG
rnacentral:rRNA from 1 species